GUCUUGCAGGCUGGGGUCCCAGGUGAGAGAUGCCAGCAGGGAGCUCUAGAUGGGGAACUGGGUGAGCCUGGCUCGGUAAGGGCGUGCUCAGAACACCCCAUCCCCGAACACGGUCUUGUGUGAUAAAAUGUCACGCAAGAAGAAUCUGAAACCGCGAGAAGAGGAGGACACGGCCAGACUGCACCGAACCCCGGCACCUCUGUGGGGAAAAGCAGGUCAGGCUGAGCGGGGCCGGCGGGGACACGCGCUCCUGGGCUUCUCCAGAGUCUGCCGGGGCCGGGCCCGGGACCGAGGCUGGGACGCGCUGUGCAGUCCCACCCCUCACACCCCUCGCACGCCUGGAAACACCCUCGGGGUAACACAAGCCGGGGUUGAGUUUCUUGAAGAGAAGCUGGCUGCAUCCUGGAGCCAGGGAAAGAGGAGCACAGGGGCCAAGCGGUCCAGGGCCACGGAGGAGCAGGACCCCUGGGGAAAGGCCCGGGUCUAGGCCGGGGCCAGGGGACCGUGGUGGAGACCUCAAAAAUGGCAGAACACGGAAGCAGGGCGAGAAAAGUAAACGUAGUCCUUGCGGCAGUUUGAAAUACACGCGGGUAAACGCUGGGUGACUCCGCCCGGAUGCAGAGUGGGGGUCUGUGUCUCUCCCCACAGGCUGCAGGGACCGGGCUCUGGGUAACCAGCAGAAGGUAACAGAACGAGGCUGCUUUUCCUCCAGGCUGUUCUGGUGUCCGCGCGUGGCUUGUGCGCUGACUCCUGACUUGGAGCGCCGCGUGGCCAGAGAAAUCUGGGUGCCUCCAGGCCACCAUGGUGAGAGGAGAGGCCACCGCACGAACGGAAGAAGCGAUGGAGACGGUCUUUACGACCUAAGAACAGAAAGAGUUUCUUAUACACAAUCCGAAAAGUAAAAAUUGAUUGAUUGAUUGAUUGAGAUGGAAUCCCACUCUGUCGUCCAGGUUAGAGUGCAAUGGCUUGAUCUCGGCUCAUUGCAACCUCCGCCUCCCGGGUUCAAGCGAUUCUCCUGCCUCAGUCUCCCGAGUAGCUGGGAUUAUAGGCGCCCGCCACCACGACUGGCUAAUUUUUAUAUUUUUAGUAGAGACGCAGUUUCACCGUGUUGACCAGGCUGGUCUUGAACCCCUGACCUCAGGUGAUCCGCCUGCCUCGGUCUCCCAAAGUGCUGGGAUUACAGGCGUGAGCCACCGUGCUGGGCCAAAAAUCAAUUUUAAAACGACCACAUGAAAAAUAAAUCUCCUGUAUCACAGAGCAUGUUCUGAGGAAAAUGAAAGCCACAGAUCCAGAAGAUAUUUGUGACACAUAUGAAAAACAAAAACUCAUAUUCAAAACAUACACAGCAUUGCUAUGAAUCAUUAAGAAAAAUGAUUUCGUCUCCUCUACAGGAGCCUGAGUGAAGGACAAGGACAGAUCAUUAUAAACCAGGGAGCUUGAAGAGCUAGUUAACAAGCACAGAAAAUAUGUUCCCCCACACUGUUAAUCAAGAAAAUUAAAACUGUAAUGAGAUGCCGCAUUGUAUCCAUGGGAUUUCUAAAAGUACAAAGUUCCACAAUACCCGUUGUUGACGGAGCAGGGAAACCGCAGGAGCCUGCAGGAGAUGAGAUUGUAAAUGUGCAAGGACAUUUUGGAGAAGAGUUGACAACAUCUCACUCACGUGUAUCAAGCCAAGUGCCGAAAGAAGAAUUGGUUGUCAUAAAGAAAACAGAAACCCAGAAUGGAUGUAGCUUAUCCCUCCGAUGGAAAGUUACAAAGAAGUUAAAAUGAAUGGGCUGCAUCUCUGUGUAACAAUUUGGAUCAAUAUCAAAGACACAUUUGUUAAAGCAAGGUGUACAAUGAAACCUGCAACAUGAUUUGUCUGUUUAGUAAAACACAGAAAAUCUAACUCCGCCUGGCUUACGAACACACACAUGUGUUAGAAUUUGGGAAAAGGAAAGGGAGGGAGGCCGGCUACACGUGAACUUUUGGAAAAUCUCAGAGGGUCUGGGGCACCAGGUGGAGACCAUGGCAGCCUUCAGGGAUAUGAGGGACACUACACAGGCCCGUGACCAUCACACGCCCAGCCUGGCCCCGUGCUGUGCCUGAGCAGAGGACUGUUGGCAGAUGGUUCACUUCCACCCUCCAUGAUAAAUGCUGAGAAAAGAAAGAUCAAGGGCUUCAGAGCCCACUGGAGGGAAUUCAUACAGCCGGGGGCCCAGGAAGCUGCUAAGGAAACUGCCUGGACGGCAGGGUGGCCGUGACCACGGGGACGGGGAGAAGGACCCAGAGGAGCUGAGGAAUCCUUGCUGUGGAAGGCACCAUAUGAGCUGCGUGAAGUCAGAGUCAAAAGCAAACCCGUCUCUUCUUGACAGUGGGACCCAGGAGGCAGGACAACCUGCCAGAGAGGCUGAAGGAGGUUCCCUCAGGCUGGAUCCUCGACAAGAAAAAGGAAGAGGGUCUGCCUGAUUCCCUCGCCAACAACAGCUGGUCUUCCAGAAGUCAGCAAUCUCUUGUCCCUUGUCUUCAAAAGCCCAUGGAGCUGGAGGCAGGCAGCUGAGGUCAGGAAGAGAAGGUGCGACCCAGUCCAGGAAGGCUGAGUCCUCGUGAACCCUCAGGGCUGGGGUGAGGGGCCAGUGCCCGGCCCAGACACCAGCACAGCCCUGCAGUGGGAGUUGAUCUCAGCAGAUGGACGGGCACCGCCCAGAGGAUGGACUGGUCAGCACCGCCCGGAGGAUGGACCGCUCAGCACCGCAGUGGCCGCUUGGCCUAAUUUGCCACCUGAAGAGCCGCCAGGUCUCCAGUGACUCUAGCACCAUGGACAGGAGAGGAGCAGGGUGACCUGAGGGUACAGAGAAGGUUCUGCUGUAAUCAAGUUCCCCUGCCUGGUCAGAGGGCUCAGAGGUUUGAGAGGGGAGGGAUUUCCUUUUAAAGCUGCAGGAUCCCUGUGGGUCCAGAAAGAAACACAGCCAUGGCGGGCAUCCCAUGGAGGGUAGUGACCAGGAGCAGGACAAAGGUGGAAGGUGGGUGGAGCCCCCACAUGGGCCUCAGGUCACAUUGGACAUUUCCUCAGCAAGUGUCACCUGGGUGGUGACGAAUGGGGGAGGAGAACAGAUGGAAUGCGGAGAGUAGCAGUGUGAAGCUGCACCGCCUGGUCACCACUCGAGAUACACAGGGUUUGCUCUGCCUGAGGAGCACACGCUGGCUGCAGACACGGGGCAACCACGUGAGAAAGGUCAGACCCAGGCCCACUCGCCUUCCAUAUGCAUCUUAGGGACGGGGAUGCCUGCGCCAGCAGCAGCCUUGCUGCCCCUGCGUCCCCCAGUGCACCUGCCAGGGCAAAGCCAACAGGCAGUGCCAAGGACCUGAGGGAGGAGGUGGGCUUGACUUCGAGGCAGGGCACAGACACCAGACCACGUGGAGGAGCAGCUGAAACAGGGCCGGUGGCAGCAGCCGCCUGUGAGACGUGCCAGCCGGUGAGCCUUGUUAGUUUACCAUUGCCACGGCAAGACCCAGAAGUUACUGCCACUUCCCACGGUAAAAUCCCAAUGACCCUGAGGUUUCUGCUCCUUUUCUAGAAAUUUCUGCAUAAACCAACCCCUAAUUAGCAUGUAGUUAAAAGUGGGUGUAAUUAUGAUGCGGAGCUGCCUCUGAGCUGCUCUUCUGUGCACUCUGCUGUCCUGGGGCAGCCCCUCUGCUGCCGCUGCAAUAAAAGCUGCUAACAGCA
rnacentral:lncRNA from 1 species